CCUACGGGAGGCUGCAGUAGGGAAUCUUCCACAAUGGGCGAAAGCCUGAUGGAGCAACGCCGCGUGCAUGAAGAAGGUCUUCGGAUCGUAAAACCCCGUUUUUAGAGAAGAAAGUGCGUGAGAGUAACUGUUCACGUUUCGACGGUAUCUAACCAGAAAGCCACGGCUAACUCCGUCCCAGCAGCCGCGGUAAUACGUAGGUGGCAAGCGUUAUCCGGAUUUAUUGGGCGUAAAGGGAACGCAGGCGGUCUUUUAAGUCUGAUGUGAAAGCCUUCGGCUUAACCGGAGUAGUGCAUUGGAAACUGGGAGACUUGAGUGCAGAAGAGGUGAGUGGAAUUCCAUGUGUAGCGGUGAAAUGCGUAGAUAUAUGGAAGAACACCAGUGGCGAAGGCGGCUCUCUGGUCUGUAACUGACGCUGAGGUUCGAAAGCGUGGGUAGCAAACAGGAUUAGAUACCCUUGUAGUC
rnacentral:rRNA from 1 species